GUAAUAUAAUGUGGAAAAAGCAGGUGCCACUUUCCCGAUGAAGGGGUUCCUCGCGAAGUGUUGAAGCUUGGAACUCAGCAUGAGAGGACACGAAAGUUUUGUGUUCAUGUUUGUUUUUGCGACAAAUUCGUUCCUACAAAUAGUGUUUUGUCAACGUUCCAGUCCCAAUUCAGAUCAUGACCCAACGAUCAGCUCUAACCCCAGUUCGCCCCGCGAGCAUUAUUCAUCUGGGGAAGAAUGGCCCGAUGACACCCCUCCAGAAUGCCUGACCGAGUGCACGGAACACGGGUUCCUGCUACUGCCGAAUAAGACACUUGUACCGCUGGCGCGUCCGGUCUGGAUACUCGUGAAGGACCCAAAAUCCAAACACCGAACGCGCAAGUGCACAAGUGACUGGUCUCACGCUUUUGUGACGGCUUUGAAAAUAUUACAGAUCAAUAAAGAUGACUUUGCAAGCGAGUACGAGAAAAGCCCCUGGCACGCGAAAGAGUUAUUGAAGAAUAAGAACUGCGACCUGGUGCGGCACCACUGGCCCCCUCAACCACCGCCCCCCUCGCAGCCGAAAACCCCCAAAAAGCAAGCAGAGGAUUCUAAGAGGAAAGUCUCGCGGAGGAACUCCGAUGCGUCUUCAAGAAGGUCAAGCGCGUCAAGAUCGACGAGACAGGGCUCGUUCAGGCUCGGUUUGCCCAAAGCCGCUUUGAUCAGAGCCAAGUCAGCAGCAGGCGUGAUCAAGCCUCUUAAAUCUAUGCUCAGAAGAAAAUCUGCCGGCGACUUGUUUGGUGGACUCAAGCGUUUCACGUCCACGGGAUAGUUUUAGCAAAGCCACUCUUCAUUAUUAGAGAAACAACUUAAAACGGGACUAAGGCCGCAAAUAAUAAAAGAAACACAUAAAAUAAAAUGAGAAACCCGGGACGUUUCGCAGGGAUCACACCCGCAUUUCCAACCGGCAAAACAAGAAAAAUCGAAGAAAGGACACUAUGAGCCUCACCGUUGUUAUUGUGAGACUAUUGAGACAAUUUGAGUCUCACAAUAACAACGGUGAGGCUCAUAGUGUCCUUUCUUUUGAUUUUUCUUGUUUUGCCGGUUGAAAAUGCGGGUGUGAUCCCUGCGAAACGUCCCGGGUUUCUUAUUUUAUUUUAUGUGUUUCUUGUUAUUAUUUGCGGCCUUAGUGCCGUUUUACGUUGUUUCUCUGUUAAUGUUUCGGGCCGAUUAAGUUGUUUUCUCUCUCUUCAUUAUUGUGAUUUGGACGUAUUUCUCCUGAAGAAAUGGACGUAUUUCUAUCAAACGGAACUACGUGCAUUAAGUCAUGAGCCCUGAGACCCAUACGAAUACAUGCAUAACAGGGCUCACGUCAUAAUGCACACAGCUCCGUUUAACAGCAAUACGUCCAAAUGAGAGACAGGUGGGAAAGAAAGGGUGUGCUCGUUAGUAGAGGGCCGUAAAAAUGAACGGGAAGGGUAAAGCGCCAGUGACGUCAGCGUGGACGACCGGGACGAGGAUCUUAACGUCCGGAGUCUUGACUCAUGAGCCCUGUCCACAAAGCUCUAUUGCCGUGCCCAUGGCUCAUGAUCCCACAUACAGCUGCCGCUUAGUUCCGUUUGGUAGAAUGUAAAAUCCCGCUUUUCCAUUUCGCCAAAGGAAAUCACGCCCGCUUUUACAUUGUUACUUAUCCAGCUAUCUAGAGCAUGCCCCAUCUUUCUCACUCGUCGAUAGUUCCGUUUAGCAGGAAUGCGUCCAUUUAUACCUGUGUAUCAAAAACCUGUGUAUCAUCAGUCUUAACAAGAUAAGAUGCGUUUUCAAUAGUUUUGAUAAAAUGAUUAGUCAUUAAAUUUCCGAUAGAGGCGAUAGAACACGAUUUUUGUAAUGAAAAUUAUCGGAAAUGACCUUUAACCGAAAUAAUUUAACGUUUUUCAAUGCAUGAAUUCAAACUUCCCGCUUCUUAAAAAAAAAAAAAAAAUGUCUACUCAUGAAUCUAUAUCAUAGGCAUUAAACGAAACUGUACCUGACUCUGCACGUUGAAAAUAUCACAACCUCAACUCGGCGCCUCAACUGGGCUGUUGCAUGUUUUUUAGACUUUGAGGGGUGGAGCACUGCUCGAUAAAGGAACCUGCCAGCGGGCUGAUCGUUGAAGUUGAUAGAUAAAGAAGAUAAAGGGAGUAUGGAGGAUCUUAUUGGUCGAAAUGAGUAAAUCCUGUGGACUGAGGGAGAACAUGAUGGACUUAGGUUCUCUCGUGGGUUGCUGCUAGUUAAUCUAUUACCAACCUCAUUUGUCCAUUGCAAACACCCGCUUCCACCAAUAGGAUCCCUCCGAAUACGUUUUGUCUUAGUCUAUAACCUAAAAGAAGGGAAUAAAAUCAGACGCUGACUUUAUAUUCAUUGGCUGUACGCCACUGUGAUAAAAAUUUAGGACAUGCAAAAGUCCUAAAAUAUUUUAAGAGUCAGAGAUUUUAAACUUUCACUUUCAUGUUAGUUUACCAAGUAAUAAAAUUGGCACUGUACCCGACACGAGACUUUGCCUAAAUGGGGGUAGUCUCUACUCCCUUCCUCCAUUUCUCUCAUUUUAUGUCAUUUAAUUAUUGUUAUUAUUUCGAGCAUUAUUGUAAAAAGGAAUAAAACCAAUCAAACUAACCGACAUACCUUGGCUAGAUUAUUUCA
rnacentral:lncRNA from 1 species